rnacentral:lncRNA from 1 species
GUGUAAAAUAAAUUCAAAUAGUUCAAGGUAAAACAUUUGUUUGAAAAAAAUGAUUAGUGACUGAGAUAUGGGGAGGGCACUGAGUGGGCAGGUGCCAAUAAAUGCUCCUCGGUGUCGCCAUAAAUUCAGUACACAUCCGUGCAUCUACUCGCAAUUCAAACUCCAUAAGUCAAAUCCAUUUGGUUGCACAUUCAUUCCCUAUAGUUAUCACAUUAACACAAUUUGUUUUUGUUUUUGGGAUUUUUUGGCAAAAAAUUGGUGACACUUUGUUUACAAAAGUUAACAUACACACACACACACACUUACCUUUUUAUCUAUAAAUAAAAAGCAUACACACAC